AUGGUUAAGGUAAGGUGUGUGCACGGGGAUAUAGUGGAAUACCCCGUAAAGGCCAUAGCCAUUAAAUUUAGGGGCCAAAUAAUGUAUAAUGUGGAGGUGGCUGUUAGUCCGCGUCUCCGGCAUCCGCUAAUCUUGGGAACUAAUUGGCCAGCGUUUCAGCAAUUAUUGGGGUGUUUAACAGUGGAUGCCGUCGGGGGGAAGAACCGGCUGGGGGGCGGGGCGAGCGCUCAGGUAGGAGAAUCUGUACCAGGACCUAGCGGGGCAGUCUCAGGGGUUCCGAGCGGCGUGGCGAGGCUAAAACUUUCCAGUCGAGACGACUUUCCCCUGGAACAAUCCCAAGACGAGACACUCAAACAUGCGUUCGGGCAGGUCCGUUCUAUUGAUGGGCAGGUCCUCCAUCCUGAGCGCCCGCUAGCCCAUCCGUAUUUUGCCAUUAUCAAGGAUCGGUUGUAUCGAGUGACCCACGACGCUCAGACAAAAGAAGAUACAACCCAAUUGUUAGUACCUCGGAGCCAUCGGGAAAUGCAUUUCCAGACGGUGCACUGUAAUCCUAUGGCGGGACACUUAGGAGUAACGACAACACUGAAUCGACUAUUGGAUACGGGCCGCAUGGUUAAGGUAAGGUGUGUGCACGGGGAUAUAGUGGAAUACCCCGUAAAGGCCAUAGCUAUUAAAUUUAGAGGCCAAAAGCAUAAUGUUGAGGUGGCUGUUAGUCCGCGUCUCCGGCAUCCGCUAAUCUUGGGAACUAAUUGGCCAGCGUUUCAGCAAUUAUUGGGGUGUUUAACAGUGGAUGCCGUCGGGGGGAAGAACCGGCUGGGGGGCGGGGCGAGCGCUCAGGUAGGAGAAUCUGUACCAGGACCUAGCGGGGCAGUCUCAGGGGAUCUGAGCGGCGUGGAGAGGCUAAACCUUUCCAGUCGCGACGACUUUCCCCUGGAACAAUCCCAAGACGGCACACUCAAACAUGCAUUCGAGCAGGUCCGUUCUAUUGAUGGGCAGGUCCUCCAUCCAGAGCGCCCGCUAGCCCAUCCGUAUUUUGCCAUUAUCAAGGAUCGGUUGUAUCGAGUGACCCGCGACGCUCAGACAAAAGAAGAUACAACCCAAUUGUUAGUACGUCGGAGCCAUAGGGAAAUGAUUUUCCAGACGGUGCACUGUAAUCCUAUAGCGGGACACUUAGGAGUAACGGCAACACUGAAUCGACUAACGACCCCAAAAGCGCCAUUGCGCCCUAUUCCCCUAGUGCAGGUCCCCUUCGAGGCGAAUUGGUAUGGACCUCAUCAGGCCGUUAGAACGAUCGGCACAAGGACAUCGCUUCGCAUAGGUCUUAGAGGAUUACGCGGCACGAUAUCCUGA
rnacentral:lncRNA from 1 species